UACGUAGGUGACAAGCGUUGUCCGGAUUUACUGGGCGUAAAGAGCGCGCAGGCGGUCGAUCAAGUCGAGUGUGAAAGCCCCCGGCUCAACUGGGGAGGGUCAUUCGAUACUGAUCGACUCGAAGGCAGGAGAGGGUAGUGGAAUUCCCGGUGUAGUGGUGAAAUGCGUAGAUAUCGGGAGGAACACCAGUGGCGAAGGCGGCAUCCUGGACCGGCAUU
rnacentral:rRNA from 1 species